rnacentral:rRNA from 1 species
GACGAACGCUGGCGGCGUGCUUAACACAUGCAAGUCGAACGGAAAGGCCCUGCUUUUGUGGGGUGCUCGAGUGGCGAACGGGUGAGUAACACGUGAGUAACCUGCCCUUGACUUUGGGAUAACUUCAGGAAACUGGGGCUAAUACCGGAUAGGAGCUCCUGCUGCAUGGUGGGGGUUGGAAAGUUUCGGCGGUUGGGGAUGGACUCGCGGCUUAUCAGCUUGUUGGUGGGGUAGUGGCUUACCAAGGCUUUGACGGGUAGCCGGCCUGAGAGGGUGACCGGCCACAUUGGGACUGAGAUACGGCCCAGACUCCUACGGGAGGCAGCAGUGGAGAAUAUUGCACAAUGGGCGGAAGCCUGAUGCAGCAACGCCGCGUGCGGGAUGACGGCCUUCGGGUGGUAAACCGCUUUCGCCUGUGACGAAGCGUGAGUGACGGUAAUGGGUAAAGAAGCACCGGCUAACUACGU